UCAGGCUGAAUUCGUAGAUUUUCAGGAUGAUUUGAAAGUUAUCUAGGUAAUUUGGUGGGGACGGUUUUGGGGACCNCGCCCUGGCCUCAGCCCGGCUCCUCGCGGGGCCCCUCCCCCUUGGAGGCCUUUUAUGUUUAUUUCUUUUUCCCCGUCUUCCUUCCUUGAUAGAAGCGCGAACUCUCCUCACUGUAGCAUUCCAGCUGGUCUCUCUUUCAAUCUCAGGCUGAAUUCGUAGAUUUUCAGGAUGAUUUGAAAGUUAUCUAGGUAAUUUGGUGGGGACGGUUGAUUUGGGGACCCUGCUCUUCAGUCAUCUUGCCCCUCCUCCCUUUGUGUUUUUAAAUAAAAACUGUGUGCACACACACGUGUGUGAUGAACUACAGCUUAUGUUUGCUUGUGAACCCCUCAGACCUGCCUAUUCUAGAGUAAGUGCAAUUAACAUUUACUGUUGGUCCUUCCCCACUUUGCUCUCCUAUUUACCAGUCAUAUCCAACUGUUAGCAUGGCUAUGCUCGCUCCAACCUCUCAGAUGGCAGUAAUCAUGACAAGUGCUUACAUAGGACAUAUUUUGUGACAAACAUUCCUCUACAUGACAUAUAUAUUUCGCUUAAUCCUCACAACCAUCAUAUGAAACGGAUACUAUUAUCAUCUCUACUUUACAGAUGGAAAAUAAGAAAGCACAGAGAAGUCCGGAAACUUGCCCAAAGUCAUGCACCCAGCAGAUGGCAGACGUAGGACUUGAACCCUGAGGUCUGAGCCUGUUCUACAUAAUUACUAUCCUGGCCCUGUCACCAGCUCAUUCUCUUUAGCUGUGACCAAUAGUUUUUAAAUUUGAUUAUUUGAACUUAUUUUCAUUUUCAAAAAUUCCUUGACAACUCAAAUCCCAAUCUUCUGAAAAGAUUUUCUCAAUCAAAUAAAUGUAUACAGUACAAAGCAGGGGUGCCUGAGUGGCUCAUUUGGUGAAGCAUCUACCUUCAGCUAGAUCAUGAUCUCAGGUCCUGGGGUCGAGCCCAAUGUCGGUCUCCAGUUCAGCGGGGAGUCUGCUGCUCCCUUUGCCCCUCGCACUGUUUGUAUUCUCUCUCUCUCUCUCUCUCCCCCCCGCCCCCGCACAUAUAUAUGUAUAUCAGGGGCUCCGACGCGGUUGCACCCGCGGCUCCUCAAGCCUCAGGCCACAGUCUCCGCCCCGCGGGCCCCACACUCACGUCACUCCGGUGGAGGUCGUGGACCUGGGCCUGGACGAAGGGCGGCUGCGCGGGACCCAGGGUGUGCGUGCGCGUCCGCGUCCCCGGCCGCCUUGCGGUGCAGCGCGAAUCCCGGCGGGCGCGGCCGUCAGCAGCGGGAAGCGGCCUCCCCAGGGCNNNNNNNNNNNNNNNNNNNNNNNNNNNNNNNNNNNNNNNNNNNNNNNNNNNNNNNNNNNNNNNNNNUCUCCCCCCUCGCGGCCCCACACGGGCCCGUCGCUCCCCACCGCGCGCCAGGGCGGCCCCGGCCCCCUGCAUCUCCCGGCGGGCCUUGCGGCGGGGCCUCCGAGGCCACCUGUGCCCCGGAAGGCGGCGCGGACGCGCCCGGAAGCCGGAAACCCGCGUCGGACCCGGAGCCGCGUGCGCGGUGGGCGGCGAACGCAGAAGCUUCUGGAAGGCGCCAGCGGAGGCGCAGAGGCUCUCCAGGGAGGCCCCACUACCCCCGACGGGUCGGCCGGAGCCGGCGCGGGACACGCAGUCGUCACCUGAGGCAACCUGUACAAGGAAGCUUGGGAUAGAGUGAAGGCCACCAGCUACAUCCUGCCUACCAGUACCAUGUCCCUGACGCAUGCUAAGAACCAGAAGCAUCUGGCUAGAAAUGUAAGUCAAGUGCAAGUGUGAUGGCCUCUCACCCACCCUCUACCUUCCCCAGUUCCCCGCUCCUAGAAUUUUUCUACUGAUUCAUGUGUUUUAUAUAUUAUAUGUUGGUGUAUAUUGUAAAAGAAAAUCUAAAAUUACAACGACCUAUCUGGAUAUCGUAUUAAGGUUUAUGAACUUCAACCCGUUAUGCCCAGAAUGUUCUUAAGUAAAGCCUUUUAUUGUAAAAUUACCUAUAACCUUUGUUGCAGUCCUAAGAAGCUAGUUCUCUUUCAGAAGUUAAACUCCUUUAGAGACUUUUACCUCUUAAUUGUGAACCUUUUACAUAGCAUUUUAGGUGAGUAUUUCUCAAACCCUGAAUUUUACCAGUAAGAAUUUUGUUUCAAGUACACACAAACACACACACACGCGCGCACACACACACACACACAGCUGACGUUUAUGUGACUUCCUUCUGACAUAUGACAGAAGACAAUGUACUGCCAAACUAAAGGCAACACACUCUGAUCGUUUCAAUUCUAUUCCAUUAGUUUAAAUGCUAGUGGUCCAAUAAAUUGAUUUCAGUGCCUUCUGGCCUAGAGAUA
ensembl:lncRNA